UUGCCUUCUCCUCUUGCUUUUCAGUGAAAUUAAGGUUUCAGAAUGCUUAAAAAACAAGAUCGACCGCAAUUCCUUCGAAUUUAGGGUUUCAGGGAAUUUACGGUGUCUAGACUAAAAUAUCGUUCUUUCUAGGUUAAAACCAAACAAAGAAGGAGAGGAGAGUUUCGGGUUCGGGGUCAGAUCGUUUCCUUCGCAUUGGCUGAAGAAGAAAAAGACGAAGGAGAAUAAGCAAGUGAAGGAGAGAGAGUUUAGGGUUUCAGAAUGAUCGAAAGUCUCAAAUGGGAGCUUGAUGCCAUGGAUCCGGAGCCCGUACAGAAGUACUUUGAGCGCCACGUGCACCGUGGCCGGAACAGUUCAAGAAAGCAUGUGGAAUCAACUGAGAACUAUUGCCCGAUGGCUUUGGCGUGGAGAAGGCAGAAGGAAUGGCUCACUCCUUAAUGCAUUGACGGGGAAGCCAGGAGUGGAUAUUGUACAAGUAGUUAAGUCCUUGGCUCAGAGUGGGCGAGCCGUGUGUGUUCUCUCUGCAUCUGAUCCGAUGAGCCUGGGCAUCAGCACGAGUGAGGCUUGAAGAAGUCCAAGCUGGAAACAGAGGAGUCCUUUCCAGCUGGUAUAGGCAGCAAAUCCAAGCCGUGCACAAAGUUUUUCAGCAGUGCUGGCUAGUUUCGGAAAACCACCACCUCCUUCACUAUGUUCCUGUUGGUUAUAAAGUUAAUUCUUAUUGACAGUGAGAUUUCAUAGUUGGUGUCUGUCUUAACUCUUCUUUGGCCAUGAAUGGGAAAUUUGUAUCUAUAGUUUAUGCGGGUAGGAAGAUAUGAAAUUUGUACCAAAUUUGUUUGUAUGUGACUUGUGUUUUAGUGUAAACAUAUGGGAUUUGUCUUUUCAAUUGAUUUAUAAUGUACUUAUAUGUGCUUGGCUUGCAAGGGUAAAGAAGAAAGUGUUACAAUGCAGAUUCACUUUUCUCUUAUUCUUUAAAAGAAAAAACAUGAAAGUUAAAAUACCACAAUCACUCAAAGCGGUAGAAAGAAAAGAACAGGAAAUGCUCUUUUCAAACCUUCUUACAAGGUGUCAAGACACCCAUUUGUGCCAACAACUUCUCAAGUUGAUUAGCAUUCAAUUGGACAGGAGAAAUUCCAUUUCAUGACACAAGUGUAUUAGAAUUCGGUUUCUGUUUACACUCUUGCAAAAAUGGUCAAAGUGACACUAAUAUCAUUCAUCAUUUUGAUCUACGCAUGGUGCAUGGUCAGAAUUAUCCACCUGCAAAUCUUAUAUGCCCACUCUCUCUCUAAGGAUGGGUCUAUACUGAAGACACCUGGCAGGGACUGUCGCCAGUUGCCUGAGAAUGCCAUGGAUUCUGCUGCGGAUGCUGAUUGGUUGCUGGGGGUGAUGGAAAGCUGCCAGCGUAUGAGUUGGCCCAAGAAAAGGUACAUACUAUUGGUACUUUGCUAUAAUAAUUAUUGGAUGGACAAGUUCUAUGAACUUGUGCUGAAGUUGGUUAUUUUAUCGGCUUUGAUUUUACUUUUAUUCUGUUGGUUAUUGAAAUUAGUGCUCAUUUAUUAGCCAUCCCAAAAAAAUUACUGUAAAAAGCUUUAAAUUGUCUUGAAAGACUUGUGUUGUGCCAUUAAGAUUGCUGUGAUUUCCGAAUGGGAAUCUAUGGGCCACUAAACUCUAGAUUAGGGAUCCAAUGAUAGAAUUCCAGGAUAAAAGAUCAGUUUUUCAGUAAGAGCAAGUAUUUCAUAAAUAAGCAGUGUAGUUAAGAUAUGGUUAUAGAAAUGCUCCAUAAUUUUCAAAUAUAAGAAGUGCUAAAUGUUUUUCCUAUCUUUGGUUGUUUGUGAUGCUGAGGUAAAGAACACGCUUUUCAACUUUUGUAACACUGAUUGAAGGAGCAAAUGAAACAUGUGUUGAUCACCUCAGCAUACAACAGACACAUACAACGAAAUUGCUUCUUGUCUUUAUGUACUCUAUUUCUGGCCUUGUAGCUGCGGUACAUAAUGCAGAAAGGAAUAUUCCUGCAACCAUGAUACAAUGGCUGUGCGCGAAAAGUAUUGAAUGACUUCAGUUUUAUCUGUUAAAGUAUUUAAGCCUGUGAAAUUGUUUCUCAAGUUAACUUGCUUUGAUUUUACUUUCAUGCUAUUUAUUACUAAAAUUAACACUCAAUUAUAGUCUUUAAUUGUGGCAUUCCCUGUGGCCUACUAAUUAAAGUGCUUACAGGAGAAAUUGUAAUUAUUACAUGUUGUAAUUUGCAAUGAUUUGUUAAUAGGAUAACAAGUUGCAUCAAUCUUUGACAAGAAUUUUUGUUUUGUUGGCUCAUAGCUCUCUAUGGGCAUUUUUUUAAUUGAUAGUGACAUAGAACGAGUUUUUACUUUUACAGACCUGUAACUUUUCCUUUUGGAGUAAUUUGCAUUUAAGCCCAUAUUUCUUGUUUAUUCUGAUAUGUGCAAAGCCCAUAAACAAUUCAUCUUGACAAGGGAGAAAAAACACAAUGUUUAGCAAAUUUAUUGUAGCCUUAUCUAAAAACAAUUCAUCUUGACAAGGGAGAAAUGGAAGUUGCUAUUUUCUCUAACUUGAUUAGACUGUUUUUAGUUUAUAUCAGUCAAUUUGGAUACCCAGUCGCAUUCAUUACUGGGGACUAAGCAGUUGCAACUUAACAGUUGGCUUAUGAAGAUCUCAAGUAAAAACUUGAACAUUUUGUGAGUCAGUAACACUAACCUUUCUGUUGGUACUGGAAUGGUUUGCAUUCCAGUUGUUUUUGUUAUCUUCCUUUUACAACGGAAUCCAGAAGCAACGGAUGCUUUAUUGUGCGUGUCAGAAUGGGAAAACAAUUAUGGAUGCCACGUGGUGGUUGAUCUUUGGGGUUUUCUUAAAUUUAUUCUUGUGCAUGGCACCAUUUACUCACAUGUAAAAGUCUCUCUCCCCUAACGCCAUUUCACCAUCUCUUUUAGUCGUGUCUGUCAUUCUACAUUUUUGUUCUCAUGGAUUCUCUUAACCCAUUGCUUGCAGAAUUUGUUGAUUUUGUGGGCACAGUUGCUCCCAGCAUUUCUUUGAAGUCUGUUAUGGACCAAACAUGUUACAUUGGGUUGCCUACACUUUUUUAGUGCUGUGUUGUGUUAGUUGUGCUUUCUGCUCUGUCUAUUAUUUGGUUUGGAUACUUACAAUCAGGUCUCUGCCUCUUUUAUUAUCAGUGAAUAUUGAUUUUUACAAGUUUAUUGGCUUUCUUAGGUAAUGGCAGAUCCUAUUCCAAGUGAACCUUUGAUGCAUGCAUGGGCACGUGGGUCAGUGUUUCCUUUGUUGACUAAUUUUUGUAGUCCUGCAUUUUUCUUGUUUCAUGCAACCACAGAAAGUGUCAUUCUGUUUUCAGCUCUCUGGAUUGGCACAGACAUUCCAGGCGAUGUAGAUCCCACUCGGUAAAAACUGAUAACUCUUCUAGCUUGUUUGUUUGAUCUGUAUGUCUCUGUUUUGCUCAAGAAGUGAAUGUCUAUGUAUGUGUGGUGAUUUGCUCUUCUUCCUGGAUUUCCGCACACAUGGGAACUUGUGUAAUCUGUUAUGCCAUUUGUUGGGAGUUGAAACUCAUUGCUAUAUGUUUUGACUGCAAAUUUGUCUACAUGCAAAUCCUACCUGGCUAGUCUGUGUGUGUGUGUGUGUUGGAUAAAGGCGAUACCAUUGAACCCAAUGAAGCAUUCCCUAAUUUUCUUUCCACACUUUCAUGUUCUUGUUCAUUUGUAAGGCUGAUCUAGGUGUUUUUACUUUUUUCUGGUAGACAAUCCAUAUCUAGCACAGUUUCCCCCUAUUUUCACAUGUUCAUUAUUUUCAGUUGUUAAAUUUAUUUGAUGCAAAUGCUUGAAAAGAUGCUACUCUAUUUUGUUGGGGUACUUUCCGUUAAUGUGAUUUACGCCAACGUAUUCCAUUCUACAAUUAUUGCUGUUUUAUUAUUUUACCCUUUUUGUUCCCUUAUAUUUUGUUUUCAAAUGAUUUGUUUUACAUGGAACAAAAGGGUAAAUAACAUGGAAUAUACAAUUAUGUUAAAGGUGCCAAUAUUGCAUGUGCUAGAUUUUUUGUGGUUAUCGAAAUAAAUUGUUCUUAAAUGCAUCUUGUAAAACAGUGAUAGGUGUCUUUCGUUCUUCUUUUUUACUUCACUAUUUGCUUCUUUCCAGGUCAAACAAAUAAGAUUCAUGCUACCUGCUCUCUCUCUCUCUCGCUCUCUCUCAAGCGGUCUUUGCAAAACUGUAUUAGGGUUUUUGCCUCCAUAUUUGGAUCUGCUGUAGGCUUUUUGUUUUUGUUUAUUUUUAUCCUUUUGCUCUCUUUAAAUCUUUGGUUGCUGGUUAUGUCUUGAUUUGUUGUUCGGAUCUCUAUUGACCUGUAAUUAACUGCAACGUACGCUUGCUAGGGAACUAGGCACCCUAAUGGUGGCUUGAAGAAGUGCAAACAAGAAAUGGACUGCCUAUCAACUGGUUUAGGAAGCAAAUUGAUGCCAAGUAUGAAGUUUUUCAACUUUGCUGGUUAUUAUGGGGAACUGCCACUUCCUUCACUAUAUUCCUGGUGCCGGACAACUGAUGGCAAGAUGUGGGAUCUGAUGACCAAAAGUGUUCUGAGUGCCACAUGCACGGUGGGCGGAGCAGUUGAAGAAAGCCUGUGGAAAUCGUUGUAUCCUCCAUAGUUGGUGGAUGCACCGGUAGGGGAGGUAUUGGUUUUGACAGUAAUGGCAAUGGCAGACAUCUUCCCAUUUCAGUCUGCCUGGACCGUCCCCUUCCUUUGAUCUUUUCCACCUCAACCGGUGGUGUAGGUUUUUUUUUUGUGUGUUGUCUUCCAUGUUGGGUGUUUUUCUCUGUUCAGCGUUUCUCAAACCUGACCAGUGGCCAGGGGAAGGCAAGAGAAAAUUAUGAAUCCGAUUCAUGAUCCAUUCCAGCCCAUCAAAGUCCAUAAUUUACUUUGCCAUUGUCCUUGCUGGAUGUUAUGGUUUCCCAGAUUAGGGUUUGUGAAUGCUUAAAAGCCACACUUCCUUCUGUACUUGUUCGUUAUUUAAGUUUAAUUUGACAAAUUUAAGCUUCUAAUGUCAGCGGGGAUGGUGGAGACUCCCUCUUGGCUUUCGUUCAGCCUGGAAGGAAACAGCAGCUUCUCCAUACUUUCUGGUAAAUUGAGGUGAGUCCAACACAGCCAAACCUGCAGUUCUCAUUUCUUGGAUUUUCUCUGUGAAUUAACAGAUUCUGCAUGGUACACAGUAAUUUCUUAGCAACUCCCUUGACCUACUAACUGGAAGUACUUACAGGAGAUUUUGCAAUUAGUGUAUGUUGUAAUUUGGAAUAAUUUGUGAAUAGGAACAGAAGUUGCUCUAUGUUGCUUCUUCACCACUGCAUUUGGAUUUAUACCCACUUCGACGGAUGUCAUCACCAUGACGUGGUUGGUUGAGAUGAAAAUGAUGCUGCGCCAACAGCAAAACUAGCAUUCUCCAAGUGUCCUUAGUGCCAACCAUCAACAUCAACUGCUCUCCUUUGCUGCUACUAUUUUCGCCCCCACCCAACAGAAUUUUACGUGAGGUGCCUCUUUGCUACCACCGCUUUCUUUGGCUGUCUGUCCCUCCCUCCUCCAGCCUCAUUACUUGGUUUCCUCCGACACAACCUCAGCUGCAUCAGCAACUAUUGAAUCGGCUGCUGUGCUGUAGCCGUUGUGCAGCUGCAGAAUCUCUCGCUUGCGGUGUCUCCUCUAUAAACCUUGUUCUCUUCUUCAGCAAUUGAAGGAGAGAGAGCUUUUAGGGUUUCCGAAUGAUUGAAAAUCUCGAUCGGCCGCUUGCUGCCACGGAUCCGGAGGCCGGCUGGUGCGGGAGAGACAACGGCGAGAAGUGGGAUCUGAUGGCUGGCCAGAAGUACUUUUGAGGGUGACAUGCACCAUUGCCUGAACGGUUCAAGAAAGCCUGUGAAAAUAUUGUUGGGUAUCUUGUUUAUCCGUAUAUUUGUUCCGUCUUUUGCACAGGUCUUGUUUCGCUGCUCGAUUUUCCAUCGGUUCUGUUUAUCAUGAUAGGCUUAACUUCGAUGUGCCAUUCCAUAUGAUCAUUCUUUCUCGAAUGCCUUCUCUUGUUGAAAGAGGCAUUUACCGAAAGAAAUUUAUUUUUAUGCUUAAUCUGCUGGUUUUGUUGACCUUUUUUCUGCCCCCAAUUUUUUUCUUUUGGUAGGUGACUUUGCCGUCGAUGCUGUACGGGGGAAGUGGAGCGAAUAUGCAUCGACAACAAACCCAGGACAGUACAUUGUAGACAUAUUAAAGUCACAGUGGUCCAACCGCCAUUGUUCUGUCCACUACUGCUGGUCCAGCUUCCAUUGUUGAUAUGUGUCCAGAUGAAUCCUUUGGACAUUUGGCGGCUUCAAGAAAUGGAAGCAGGAAAUGCAACUGGUGUAGGAAGCAAGGUGAAGGCUUGUACAAAGUUUUUCAGCUCUGCCCAAAUACUGCCACUUCCUUCAUUGUCUUCCUGGUGCAUACAAUGCGGUUGUGUUGCCGGUGCACCUGGCUCCCCGGCUUUAAGGUUGAUGUGUUCCUAGUCUUUUGGUGGGCAUGAAUGGGAAAUUUGUAUCUGUAAUACUUGUGUGGGUAGGAAAACAUGAAUGCUUUUGAAGAGGCCAUGAAUUGUAAUUUUUGUUUGUGCUGACAUACCAGUGGCCUCAAAUAACAAACUACUAUGGUUUUUGUGACCUGAGAGUUGGUGUCUAACCAAAUAAGAGAUUCUAGGCGAUAAUUCAGACUCAUGCUAAAACUGGUAACUCUUCUAGCAUCUUGGUAGUCCUGAAUAUCAAUCCCUUGCUCAAAAUUAUGUUGAGAA